UGCCUCAACUCAGCAGCACAUAUAUAAAAUUGGAAUGAUUUGGAAGAGAUUAACAUGGCCCCUGCAUAGAGAUGACAGGCAAAUCCAUGAAGCACCCCGCAGCGUU